AAGUCAUAUCAAUGUUUGCUGUGCGGUGAUUAUUUUCCUUAAAUCUUGAACAAAGGAGGUUUCUUUGAAAUCUCAGGGUUGGCCUCCAACCGCAGGAGAGAAUAGCCACACGGAAAUGCUUUGUUUCUCAACCUCACUAAGAAGGAAAAAAAGGAGCAAAAUGUAGGGUGUGGCGAAAGUAAGAUUAUAUUCUCUUUGUUCCACUGGGCUAUCUCGGUCAAGGAGGGACAAGUUGGACAAACUGAAAUCAGUGUACAGCAAGUGGGGACGACAGGCAAGAAGCGCGCUCGCAAGGCCCCCCAUUCCGGGAGAGGAAAGCUCCACUUUCCAGAAAGCGCCCUUCAUCGUCUCGCUGAUGAGAUUCUGUAUCUGCACACGGAACAUCGUCACGCCGCCUCGAUUUCCCAGUUCUCUGCCCCUCAGCCCUGGAGCAGCCCUUCUGAGUCGAACUGAGCGCCAAACUGAGGACUUGGCCACUCAAUACUCUUCAGCAGGUCGCCCGUUGUGACUCUGUACCAAGAGACAGGGGUGUGAGCUUGAACUGCUUCUCGCUGAAUCGACCGGGAAACUCAAUCAAAGGACGGGAUUCUCCCAGCAGAGAGGCUGGUGCCCAAGGGCACGUGCCCCAGGACUGGGCUGCCUCCGGGGCACCGAGCACAGACGAGGGCCGGGCGGCCGCGGAGCCGCGCGUGGCUCAGCUCCCGGAGCGCGGGCCACACGCCUGCGACAGCAGAGCCCGCCGGCCCUCUCCUCCCCUCCGCCGGCUGGCGGAGCUGCCAGUGACAGGAAGGCCAAGGCGAGGUGCUCAGCAAGAAAGGGAGCUGAGGGCUGUCCCCGCUGGGAUGCCCAGGGGCGGAUCCACCUUUGAACAUGGCCCAGGUGGGAGGCCUGGACGCGUCUCCGCGGUUCUUCCCUCUCCCCUGGCACACCCGCCUUUCUCCCGCUGGCUCGAGCUCCCGCGUGCCUCCCCGGUGGUGACAGGAUGGAGGACCGCACCUCUAACUCAUAAGAGCCAGGGUCCCCCCUUCUCAGCGC
rnacentral:lncRNA from 1 species